rnacentral:lncRNA from 1 species
GGGAAAAGUUGAGUCCGUGAGAGUGGUUGGAGGAGAGAUGUGUGUCAGUUAGGAAUGGCUCAGGAUUGUUAGGAUGGGUUACAUCAGCGAACGACCGGACUUAUCAACUAUUGAAUCGAUUUUUAUCCUCUUCCAAUUUCUCUAUUUAAAACCCACUGCCCCUCUCUAUUAAUCCAUCACCAAAGCCCUACCUCUCCCUUUCCCUUCUUCUUCAUCUCCGACAGCCAUCGGACUAUUGUAAUCGAG